AACGCACCUUGCGCUCCUUGGUAUUCCGAGGAGCAUGCCCGUUUGAGUGUCUUGAUAUCAUCAAACGCCCCUGCCUUUUCUGGUGGGUCGGCGAUUUGGACUUGGACGUGCUGCUGGGCGCUCUGCGCUCGGCUCGUCUUGAAUGCAUUAGCUGGAUCUCCCUCCGGCCUCGGACCUUAUGGCGUGAUAAGAUCACCCGUCGAGCAGUCCUUGGUCAACGUUGGGUUCCGCUUCCAACCGUCCCCCGCGGACAACACCGAAACCUGGUUUUCGACAUCUGACCUCAAAUCGGGUAGGACUACCCGCUGAACUUAA
rnacentral:rRNA from 1 species